rnacentral:rRNA from 1 species
CAGCCGCCACGGUAAUACGAAGGGGGCUAGCGUUGUUCGGAUUAACUGGGCGUAAAGGGCGCGUAGGCGGGUUUUUAAGUCAGAGGUGAAAUCCCAAGGCUCAACCUUGGAACUGCCUUUGAUACUGGAAGUCUUGAGUCCGGGAGAGGUGAGUGGAACUGCGAGUGUAGAGGUGAAAUUCGUAGAUAUUCGCAAGAACACCAGUGGCGAAGGCGGCUCACUGGCCCGGUACUGACGCUGAGGCGCGAAAGCGUGGGGAGCAAACAGGAUUAGAUACCCGAGUAGUCCCUGUCUCUUAUAA